GGGCCCGCACAAGCGGCGGAGCAUGCGGAUUAAUUCGAUGCAACGCGAAGAACCUUACCUAGGUUUGACAUAUACGAGAAGCCUCUAGAGAUAGAGGUCUCUUUGGACACUCGUAUACAGGUGGUGCAUGGCUGUCGUCAGCUCGUGUCGUGAGAUGUUGGGUUAAGUCCCGCAACGAGCGCAACCCUCGUCUUAUGUUGCCAGCACGUAAUGGUGGGGACUCAUAAGAGACUGCCGGGGUCAACUCGGAGGAAGGUGGGGAUGACGUCAAGUCAUCAUGCCCCUUAUGCCUAGGGCUUCACGCAUGCUACAAUGGCCGGUACAAAGGGCUGCGAUACCGCAAGGUGGAGCGAAUCCCAAAAAGCCGGUCUCAGUUCGGAUUGGGGUCUGCAACUCGACCCCAUGAAGUCGGAGUCGCUAGUAAUCGCAGAUCAGCAACGCUGCGGUGAAUACGUUCCCGGGCCUU
rnacentral:rRNA from 1 species